GACGAACGCUGGCGGCGUGCCUAAUACAUGCAAGUAGAACGCUGAAGAGAGGAGCUUGCUCUUCUCGGAUGAGUUGCGAACGGGUGAGUAACGCGUAGGUAACCUGCCUUGUAGCGGGGGAUAACUAUUGGAAACGAUAGCUAAUACCGCAUAACAAUGGAUGACACAUGUCAUUUAUUUGAAAGGGGCAAUUGCUCCACUACAAGAUGGACCUGCGUUGUAUUAGCUAGUAGGUGAGGUAAUGGCUCACCUAGGCGACGAUACAUAGCCGACCUGAGAGGGUGAUCGGCCACACUGGGACUGAGACACGGCCCAGACUCCUACGGGAGGCAGCAGUAGGGAAUCUUCGGCAAUGGGGGCAACCCUGACCGAGCAACGCCGCGUGAGUGAAGAAGGUUUUCGGAUCGUAAAGCUCUGUUGUAAGUCAAGAACGGGUGUGAGAGUGGAAAGUUCACACUGUGACGGUAGCUUACCAGAAAGGGACGGCUAACUACGUG
rnacentral:rRNA from 1 species